rnacentral:miRNA from 1 species
UUUUAUCACUGUCGUGGUACCGG